rnacentral:rRNA from 1 species
UGACUGGGGCGGUCGCCUCCUAAAAAGUAACGGAGGCGCCCAAAGGUUCCCUCAGCAUGGACGGAAAUCAUGCGCAGAGUGUAAAGGCAUAAGGGAGCUUGACUGCGAGAGAGACAUUUCGAGCAGGUACGAAAGUAGGUCUUAGUGAUCCGGCGGUCCUGAAUGGAAGGGCCGUCGCUCAACGGAUAAAAGGUACGCCGGGGAUAACA